UCACAUAUAAACCAGGAUUAGAUACCCUAUUAUAUUUAAACAAAUUGGGUAGUAUUAUUAAUAAAAACCUUUAUACUUUGGCGGCAUUUUAUCUUAUUAGAGGAAUAUGUUCAUUAAUCGAAACCACACGAUAGUUUUUACUUACUAUAAAAUUUUAUAUACCCCCGUCUAAAGAAUUUAUUUAAAAUUUUUAUUCCAAAUUAUAUUAAAAAAAGUUAGGUAAAGGUGUAGACUAUUAGUAAGAUUAAAUGUAUUACAUUAAAAAAAAUUUAAGGAUAAAACAGUUAACUGUUUAUUAAAAGAGGAUUUAUAAGUAAUUUACUUUUAAUAAAAAUUAAUGAAUAAGAAAAUAAAUGUGCACAUAUCGCCCGUCACUCUCACAUAUAAACCAGGAUUAGAUACCCUAUUAUACAUAUCGCCCG
rnacentral:rRNA from 1 species